rnacentral:tRNA from 1 species
GGGCUAUAGCUCAGUUAGGUAGAGCACCUCGUUUACACGAUCAGUUUGAUCUGUUUUACCGAGAAGGUCUACGGUUCGAGUCCGUAUAGCCCUAA